GCUUUGAUUCCUGCCAUCCGUACCUGAGAGGGUCCUAGGAGAGCUGGCUGGGCAGAGUCAUCUGUUCCCCAGCUUCACCGGGUGUGCCAAGGAAGUGCCUGGGAAGAACAGGACUCUGCAGCUGUGCCCCAGGGUUGAGACUACCCUGCCUCCCUUGUGAACUCUGCCACACAGCCAUUUCCUGACUUCUGCUGCAUGUGCCUGGGGCCCCUCUGCUGCCAGUCUGCUGGUGUUUGCUGGAGGUCCCCUCCUGACCCUGUUUUCCUGGGUAUCACCAGUGGAGGCUGCAAAGCAGCAAAGAUUGCUGCUUGUUCUUUCCUCUGGAAGCUUCGACCCAGCAGGGAACCUGCCAGAUGCCAGCCAGAGCUCUUCUGUAUGAGGUGUCUGUCAGCCCCAACUGGGAGGUGUCUCCCAGUCAGUAUACA
rnacentral:lncRNA from 10 species